rnacentral:rRNA from 1 species
UACGUAGGGUGCAAGCGUUAAUCGGAAUUACUGGGCGUAAAGCGUGCGCAGGCGGUUGUGUAAGACAGAUGUGAAAUCCCCGGGCUCAACCUGGGAACUGCAUUUGUGACUGCACAGCUGGAGUGCGGCAGAGGGGGAUGGAAUUCCGCGUGUAGCAGUGAAAUGCGUAGAGAUGUGGAGGAACACCGAUGGCGAAGGCAGCCUUCUGGGCCAACGCUGACGCUCAUGCACGAAAGCGUGGGGAGCAAACAGG